rnacentral:misc_RNA from 1 species
GAUGAAGAACGUAGCGAGAUGCGAUACGUAGUGUGAAUUGCAGAAUUCAGUGAAUCACCGAAUCUUUGAACGCACAUUGCGCCCGCCAGUAUUCUGGCGGGCAUGCCUGUUCGAGCGUCAUUUCAACCAUCAAGCCCCCGGCUUGUGUUGGGGACCUGCGGCUGCCGCAGGCCCUGAAAAGCAGUGGCGGGCUCGCUGUCACACCGAGCGUAGUAGCAUACAUCUCGCUCUGGGCGUGCUGCGGGUUCCGGCCGUUAAACCACCUUCAUAACCCAAGGUUGACCUCGGAUCAGGUAGGAAGACCCGCUGAACUUAAGCAUAUCAAUAAGCGGAGGA